rnacentral:rRNA from 1 species
GACGAACGCUGGCGGCGCGCUUAACACAUGCAAGUCGAGCGAGAACCAUGGCUUCGGCCAUGGGGACAGCGGCGAACGGGUGAGUAACACGUGGGUAAUCUGCCCUCGGCACUGGGAUAGCCCGGGGAAACCCGGAUUAAUACCGGAUAGCCUUUCGAGCUCUUGGGCUCGUCAGAAAAGGUAGCUUCGGCCUCCGGCCGAGGAGGAGCCCGCGGCGGAUUAGCUUGUUGGUGAGGUAGAGGCUCACCAAGGCGACGAUCCGUAGCUGGUGUGAGAGCAUGACCAGCCACACUGGGACUGAGACACGGCCCAGACUCCUACGGGAGGCAGCAGUGGGGAAUCUUGCGCAAUGGGCGAAAGCCUGACGCAGCGACGCCGCGUGCGGGAAGAAGGCCUUCGGGUUGUAAACCGCUUUCAGGAGGGACGAAGCCACUCGGGUGAAUAGCCCAGAGGGUGACGGUACCUCCAGAAGAAGCCCCGGCUAACUACGUGCCAGCCGCCGCAGUAAGAC